UACGAAGGGGGCUAGCGUUGCUCGGAAUCACUGGGCGUAAAGCGCACGUAGGCGGCUUUCUAAGUCAGGGGUGAAAUCCUGGAGCUCAACUCCAGAACUGCCUUUGAUACUGGAAAGCUUGAGUUCGGGAGAGGUGAGUGGAACUGCGAGUGUAGAGGUGAAAUUCGUAGAUAUUCGCAAGAACACCAGUGGCGAAGGCGGAUCUCUGGGCCAUUACUGACGCUGAGGAGCGAAAGCGUGGGGAGCGAACAGG
rnacentral:rRNA from 1 species